UACGUAGGGUGCGAGCGUUGUCCGGAAUUUUUGGGCGUAAAGAGCUCGUAGGCGGCUUGUCGCGUCGGAUGUGAAAGCCCGGGGCUUAACCCCGGGUCUGCAUUCGAUACGGGCAGGCUAGAGUGUGGUAGGGGAGAUCGGAAUUCCUGGUGUAGCGGUGAAAUGCGCAGAUAUCAGGAGGAACACCGGUGGCGAAGGCGGAUCUCUGGGCCAUUACUGACGCUGAGGAGCGAAAGCGUGGGGAGCGAACAGG
rnacentral:rRNA from 1 species